rnacentral:rRNA from 1 species
GAUGAACGCUAGCGGCAGGCCUAACACAUGCAAGUCGAGGGGCAGCACAGAAACAGCAAUGUUUUGGUGGCGACCGGCGGACGGGUGCGUAACGCGUAUGCAACCUACCUUUAACAGGGGGAUAACGGAGAGAGAUUUCCACUAAUACCCCAUAACAUCGAUCAAGGCAUCUUGAUUGGUUGAAAACUCCGGUGGUUAUAGAUGGGCAUGCGUUGUAUUAGGUAGUUGGUGAGGUAAUGGCUCACCAAGCCUACGAUACAUAGGGGGACUGAGAGGUUAGCCCCCCACACUGGUACUGAGACACGGACCAGACUCCUACGGGAGGCAGCAGUGAGGAAUAUUGGUCAAUGGGGGCAACCCUGAACCAGCCAUGCCGCGUGCAGGAAGACGGCUCUAUGAGUUGUAAACUGCUUUUAAACAGGGAUAAAGCACAGUAUGUAUACUGUGUUGAAGGUACUGUAAGAAUAAGGAUCGGCUAACUCCGUGCCAGCCGCCGCGGUAA